AAAAUACUCCUUUCAUCUGGUAAUGUUUGUUAGAGAAAUGGAUGUAUCAUCUAUACGAUACAUCCAUUUUUAUCCAUUUCUCUGACAAGUAUUUCUAGAUGGAGGGAGUAUUAU
rnacentral:pre_miRNA from 1 species